ensembl:misc_RNA
CUGACAGCACCAGGAAAUGAAUUCCUCUAUUUAGUCACAGAACAGGUAUAGAACACAAGUUUCUCCACUCUGCCUUGACUAUGUGUCUCAGUCCUGACCUGUAGAGGAUACCACUAAGAGUGAAAGGGUGGUUCAUUCUGUAUGCCUAUUCAAUCUUUAGCCCCU